GUGCAGCAGUCGAGAAAACUCCGCAAUACGCGAAAGCGUGACGGGGCUACCCCGAGUGUCGUCCGCUGAGGACGACUUUUCCACGCUGUAAGGAGGCGUGGGAAUAAGGAGAGGGCAAGUCUGGUGUCAGCCGCCGCGGUAAUACCAGCUCUCCGAGUGGUAGGGAUGAUUAUUGGGCUUAAAGCGUCCGUAGCUGGCCUUUCAAGUCUCUUGUUAAAUCCAGCGAUUCAAUCGUUGGACUGCGGGAGAUACUGUUAGGCUAGGGGGCGGGAGAAGCCGACGGUAUUUCCGGGGUAGGGGUAAAAUCCUAUAAUCCCGGGAAGACCACCAGUGGCGUAGGCGGUCGGCUAGCACGCGCUCGACAGUGAGGGACGAAAGCUGGGGUAGCGAACCGGAUUAGAUAUGAAGUUGAGUUUUUACCAGCUUCACUAGAAACCCCGGUAGUCC
rnacentral:rRNA from 1 species